rnacentral:rRNA from 1 species
GACACGUGGUAUCCUGUCUGAAUAUGGGGGGACCAUCCUCCAAGGCUAAAUACUCCUGACUGACCGAUAGUGAACCAGUACCGUGAGGGAAAGGCGAAAAGAACCCCGGCGAGGGGAGUGAAAAAGAACCUGAAACCGUGUACGUACAAGCAGUGGGAGCACGCUUAGGCGUGUGACUGCGUACCUUUUGUAUAAUGGGUCAGCGACUUAUAUUCUGUAGCAAGGUUAACCGAAUAGGGGAGCCGAAGGGAAACCGAGUCUUAACUGGGCGUUAAGUUGCAGGGUAUAGACCCGAAACCCGGUGAUCUAGCCAUGGGCAGGUUGAAGGUUGGGUAACACUAACUGGAGGACCGAACCGACUAAUGUUGAAAAAUUAGCGGAUGACUUGUGGCUGGGGGUGAAAGGCCAAUCAAACCGGGAGAUAGCUGGUUCUCCCCGAAAGCUAUUUAGGUAGCGCCUCGUGAAUUCAUCUCCGGGGGUAGAGCACUGUUUCGGCAAGGGGGUCAUCCCGACUUACCAACCCGAUGCAAACUGCGAAUACCGGAGAAUGUUAUCACGGGAGACACACGGCGGGUGCUAACGUCCGUCGUGAAGAGGGAAACAACCCAGACCGCCAGCUAAGGUCCCAAAGUCAUGGUUAAGUGGGAAACGAUGUGGGAAGGCCCAGACAGCCAGGAUGUUGGCUUAGAAGCAGCCAUCAUUUAAAGAAAGCGUAAUAGCUCACUGGUCGAGUCGGCCUGCGCGGAAGAUGUAACGGGGCUAAACCAUGCACCGAAGCUGCGGCAGCGACGCUGAUGCGUUGUUGGGUAGGGGAGCGUUCUGUAAGCCUGCGAAGGUGUGCUGUGAGGCAUGCUGGAGGUAUCAGAAGUGCGAAUGCUGACAUAAGUAACGAUAAAGCGGGUGAAAAGCCCGCUCGCCGGAAGACCAAGGGUUCCUGUCCAACGUUAAUCGGGGCAGGGUGAGUCGACCCCUAAGGCGAGGCCGAAAGGCGUAGUCGAUGGGAAACAGGUUAAUAUUCCUGUACUUGGUGUUACUGCGAAGGGGGGACGGAGAAGGCUAUGUUGGCCGGGCGACGGUUGUCCCGGUUUAAGCGUGUAGGCUGGUUUUCCAGGCAAAUCCGGAAAAUCAAGGCUGAGGCGUGAUGACGAGGCACUACGGUGCUGAAGCAACAAAUGCCCUGCUUCCAGGAAAAGCCUCUAAGCAUCAGGUAACAUCAAAUCGUACCCCAAACCGACACAGGUGGUCAGGUAGAGAAUACCAAGGCGCUUGAGAGAACUCGGGUGAAGGAACUAGGCAAAAUGGUGCCGUAACUUCGGGAGAAGGCACGCUGAUAUGUAGGUGAAGUCCCUCGCGGAUGGAGCUGAAAUCAGUCGAAGAUACCAGCUGGCUGCAACUGUUUAUUAAAAACACAGCACUGUGCAAACACGAAAGUGGACGUAUACGGUGUGACGCCUGCCCGGUGCCGGAAGGUUAAUUGAUGGGGUUAGCGCAAGCGAAGCUCUUGAUCGAAGCCCCGGUAAACGGCGGCCGUAACUAUAACGGUCCUAAGGUAGCGAAAUUCCUUGUCGGGUAAGUUCCGACCUGCACGAAUGGCGUAAUGAUGGCCAGGCUGUCUCCACCCGAGACUCAGUGAAAUUGAACUCGCUGUGAAGAUGCAGUGUACCCGCGGCAAGACGGAAAGACCCCGUGAACCUUUACUAUAGCUUGACACUGAACAUUGAGCCUUGAUGUGUAGGAUAGGUGG